AUUGAACGCUAGCGGGAUGCUUUACACAUGCAAGUCGAACGGCAGCGCGGACUUCGGUCUGGCGGCGAGUGGCGAACGGGUGAGUAAUGUAUCGGAACGUGCCCAGUAGCGGGGGAUAACUACGCGAAAGCGUAGCUAAUACCGCAUACGCCCUACGGGGGAAAGCAGGGGAUCGUAAGACCUUGCACUAUUGGAGCGGCCGAUAUCGGAUUAGCUAGUUGGUGAGGUAACGGCUCACCAAGGCGACGAUCCGUAGCUGGUUUGAGAGGACGACCAGCCACACUGGGACUGAGACACGGCCCAGACUCCUACGGGAGGCAGCAGUGGGGAAUUUUGGACAAUGGGGGCAACCCUGAUCCAGCCAUCCCGCGUGUGCGAUGAAGGCCUUCGGGUUGUAAAGAACGUUUGGCAGGAAAGAAACGUCGCGGGCUAAUACCCCGUGGAACUGACGGUACCUGCAGAAUAAGCACCGGCUAACUACGUG
rnacentral:rRNA from 1 species